rnacentral:rRNA from 1 species
GACGAACGCUGGCGGCGUGCCUAAUACAUGCAAGUCGAGCGGACGGAUGGGAGCUUGCUCCCAGACCGUCAGCGGCGGACGGGUGAGUAACACGUGGGCAACCUGCCUGUAAGACUGGGAUAACUCCGGGAAACCGGGGCUAAUACCGGAUAACUCUUUCCCUCACAUGAGGGAAAGCUGAAAGAUGACAUCUCGCUAUCACUUACAGAUGGGCCCGCGGCGCAUUAGCUAGUUGGUGAGGUAACGGCUCACCAAGGCGACGAUGCGUAGCCGACCUGAGAGGGUGAUCAGCCACACUGGGACUGAGACACGGUCCAGACUCCUACGGGAGGCAGCAGUAGGGAAUCUUCCGCAAUGGACGAAAGUCUGACGGAGCAACGCCGCGUGAGUGAUGAAGGUUUUCGGAUCGUAAAACUCUGUUGUCAGGGAAGAACAAGUACCGGAGUAACUGCCGGUACCUUGACGGUACCUGACCAGAAAGCCACGGCUAACUACGUG